rnacentral:rRNA from 1 species
AUUGAACGCUGGCGGCAGGCCUAACACAUGCAAGUCGAGCGGAUGAAGGGAGCUUGCUCCUGGAUUCAGCGGCGGACGGGUGAGUAAUGCCUAGGAAUCUGCCUGGUAGUGGGGGAUAACGUCCGGAAACGGGCGCUAACACCGCAUACGUCCUGAGGGAGAAAGUGGGGGAUCUUCGGACCUCACGCUAUCAGAUGAGCCUAGGUCGGAUUAGCUAGUUGGUGGGGUAAAGGCCUACCAAGGCGACGAUCCGUAACUGGUCUGAGAGGAUGAUCAGUCACACUGGAACUGAGACACGGUCCAGACUCCUACGGGAGGCAGCAGUGGGGAAUAUUGGACAAUGGGCGAAAGCCUGAUCCAGCCAUGCCGUGUGUGUGAAGAAGGUCUUCGGAUUGUAAAGCACUUUAAGUUGGGAGGAAGGGCAGUAAGUUAAUACCUUGCUGUUUUGACGUUACCAACAGAAUAAGCACCGGCUAACUUCGUG